GAAAGAUUUUUGAGCCUCUUUCUUUUUUUUUUAAGAGAGAGAGAGAGAGAGAGAGAGAGAGAAUUUUAAUAUUUAUUAUUUUAGUUUUCGGCAGACACAACAUCUUUGUUUGUAUGUGGUGCUGAGGAUCGAACCCGGGCCGCACGCAUGCCAGGCGAGCGCGCUACUGCUUGAGCCACAUCCCCAGCCCGAGCCUCUUUCUUUAGUGAAGAAGAAACUCAAAGACAUAGUCAUUGUCCCAAAGUCACAGUGAGUUGGAGGCUAAGUCAGAGAGAGAACUCAGAUCUUCUAGGGGCCAGGCAGUGAGGGAGGGCUUUGGAGUCUAACUUCAUGCUCACCGGCUGCCCUGGCUUCCACAUCUGUGGAUGGAGAGGAUGAGGGCACAGUGCUGCUUCAUGGAGGUGUCGGGCUCUGGACCAAGGAGGACAGGUUGGUAUGAUCCACUCACCCAGAGACCUGGGAAGGUUGGUUUAGUUAGUUUUCUGUAACCAAAAGACCUAACAAGUACAACCUAGAAAAGGAAAAGCUUACUUUGGCUCAUAGUUUCUGGGGUUCAGUCCACGGUUGCCUGACUCCAUUGCUCUGAGCCAGACGUGAGGCAGAAGAUCACGGCAGGAAGAUGUAGCAGAGCAAAGCAACUCAGGACAUGGCAACAGGAAGCAGAUAGUGCUCCACUCACC
rnacentral:lncRNA from 1 species